AUUUUGUUCACUAACUGAAUAAUUGAGACACUGGUCAAUAGGGUUAGAUUCACUUUUUUAUUCUCAAAUAAUUUCUGAGAUUGGUAAAAAUCUGAUCAUAUUUAAUUCUUCGUGCCUAUUUUUUUCGCUCCUCCUCCUCUUUUCUCCUCCCCCACCUUCUUUCUUCUAUUCCUCUCUUCCUUCUCCUUCAGCUUCUUCCUCCCACUUUUCCUCUGCACUGUUUACAGAGGAAAGAGACAGAAGGAGAAGACAGCACCUGUGCAUCCUGACUUAGUGUUUACCAGCACACCCUGACCACCACCUGCACUGGUCUUACUCUUGGCCUCUUGAUCUCUUGAGUUGGGUUACUCAUUAUUGUGUUAGUGCUCUGCAUAUAGAGUUUGUGUGUUUGCUUGUUCGACUCAGCUGUAUUUUAACCAGAUGGAGAAACAAAGCAAAACAGAAACCGAAGCAUAGUUCAGCCUAAGGUUCCUCAAGCAAACAUCAUGUUACACUGCAAAGCUUUUGUUCACUAGACAAGUAAAGAAGUUCAGGCAUAGAAGUCUUAAACAUGAAGUUGGUUUAAGCAACUUGGUUACCACACGACCAGCUGAAUUUAAAGACCAGUGUGAGUUUAGAAAGGUAAGUGUGUUAUGUUUUAGGAGGCCUGGGGAUUACUUUUGCUCUGGAAUCCCCAACUCCUGGACCACCUUUGAUGUAACCAAGGAGUCUCGUUCUUGUACCUUGCCACUUCUGAUGAGUGUAAGAACGAAAUCUAGUUGUCACCAUAAAACAGAGGACUCCGUGACCGACUUUCUGCCACUAUUGAAAGCAAAAGGGUCUGCACUGACCGCUGGACUCAAGUCACCAUCUUUGUACCUAGACUUGUGGCUGAAAAUGCAGCUCUUCCUUUGGUCAAACAAGAGCAGAUAUUUGUGGGGCUCCCUCCACUUGCUCUUCUAUACCAUUAGUAUAAUGGGCUGGAAUUGCAAUUGUUAACUCUCUUCCUUGACUAGAUGUCUCAGUCAGUUCAGGCUACUAUAAUAAAAUAUCAUAGACUAGGGGGCUUAAACUAUGG
rnacentral:lncRNA from 1 species